CUUUGCAUGACACUGCCUGCCUGUUGUAGACCCGCCCGGGCCCUGCAGUCACUCCUCACACCUGCCCAGCACAGACCUUGAUUCCGCUCAGUCGCCUUUGGGGACUCACGCUUCAAGCGCAACCAAGCAGAAUGUCAACACACACACAGUGUACUUUCGGCAGCAUCACCAUUUUAGUCAGGUGGCUUGACCCUGGGACACACACCGCUGGCUUCAGGGACUGCAGAUUUGGAGGCAGAUGCCAGCAUGUUGUCCAGGCUGAGGCUUGAGGCUGCCACAAUGCUGGCUGGGCUGGGGUCUCCUUUCCUCUUCCACUCCAGCAGUGCGGGGAGCUGGCUGAGCCCCAGCAGCAUCGCCACGGGCUGGGGGUGAUGUGAGCACAGGCUGGUGUGAAGGUGGCUGCCAAAGCCUGGUCUCAGUUCCAUGCCCUCCUCAUGAGAUGGGCAUGGAGGGCUUCCAAGUGCCCUGGACAGGUUUCAUCCCGGGGUUGGGGAGUGACCUCCCACAAGUCUGGCCCCCUGUGCACCAUACUCCACAAAACAGGGCACAAGUGCUUCCUCCAGCGCUGCCCUGAGCCUCAGUUCCAUGCCAUCGCCUCUUCUGCCAGGGGUUGCUUGCAGCUCUUCUAAGGCAUGGAAGGAAGACAAGGUCUGUCCAGGUGAGGUAAGGAACCCCUUGCUGUCUGGUCUAUGUUCUUGUUUCAGUUUCUAAACAACCCCAAAAGGCAGGCAUGCGAGUUCUAGCUUAUAAAUAAGGAAACUGAGGCAGAUACCAUGCUUCCGCUGAAUGGAUAAAGGUGCUCGGGAGUCUGUGUCUCAUCAGCAGGCGUGAUUUUGUGUGGGGAACUCUGCAGACCCGCAACACUGACUGGUUGAGCAGACGUGGAGCCCCAUUCCACCCUGGCAGCUGCCUGGCCUGUGUGGUGCGCCUGUUCCCUGACAACAGCUGCCCUCCCAUGCGGCCGUGUCCUGCCCACCCUGCUCAGGACCAGCGGGGAGGGUGUUAGGCUUAGGUUCUGGCCACGUCAAAUGUCCUGAGCAAGAGUCUGUCACUGGUGAUCUUCCUGCUCUCAGAUCUAACUUCAUGCAGGGAACUUGGCUCUGAGGGCCAGGGCGCUGGGGUGGUUUUGGGCAAACUCACCUGGUAUCUCUGUGCUCUGGUUUCAUCCCCUGUGGAUGAGGGGAGGGGGGUGACUUCCUGAUACAGCUGUCUGGGAUGUGGCCAGGGCCCAGUGCCCGGCGGCAUCUGAACAACAGCCCUGGAGGUUGAGGUCCGUCAUUCGCCAUGCGUCUCAGAAGGCAGCUCCACACGGGGGAAGAGAAGAUGCCACCACGGGAGUUCACUCCUGGAGGAGUCACGUUUCUCCCUGAAUCUCUGGGACCUGCAAGAGGACAGGCACAGCCGUCAGCGGCUCAGCCCGACCCGCAAGAGGACAGGCAUGGCUGUCAGCGGCUCAGCCCACCGUGGCUCUCUGGGCAGCUCAUCAAGGCAAUCCUGCUUGGGCCGACAUGAUUUUAUAGAGGAGAAACUAAAAUGGGCUAUGAGGAACAGGGGAUCCGAGGCUUGCUGUUAGAUAAACCCGUCUCGUGACUAAACUUCCCGUGUCUAGCUGGUGAACAGUCUUCAUUCCUCAUUGAAAAGGAGGUAAAACAAUGGAUUAGCAUGUCAGCUGAGUUGUUUACAAUUGCGUGUGGACUUUGUUGGCCUUCCUGUCUUUAAGUGGCCUGCAUGGAGAUGGAGUCCCCAGGCACCUUUACAGAGAGCGCCUGGUGUCGGAAGCCAAACAGGAGAGUCGGGACCUGCCCACUGCUUCGUUCGGCCUUGAAGCCCUGCAGAUGCCAGAAGAAAACACACACUGGUGUGUUUCACUCACUCAUCUUGGAGGCCUCCAGAACCGACCUGAAUCACGCACAACACGGUGAAUCCAAGCUGAAGCGGGCAGCUCCCCGCUACCCCCAGAGCACACGAGACUGGCUCCGCUGCCGGGUCUGGCCUGACACACCUGCCGAGCCGGCCUCUUGCUGCCUUUUUUAAUUUUGGAAGCCCAGGUGGAUUCCCACAUCCCCACAUUUACAUUUUCUUCUAAAAAUGGACCGCCGUAAUUAUAUGUUAAAUAUGAUUCAAAUCUGCAGGGAACUGUGACUCAAUAAGCAUGGAAAAAUUAAUGAAAAGCUUAAUUAUUAUAAUAAUACCAUUAAAAUCUAAUAAAGGAAGAAAAAACUGGAGUUCAUUUUAUUUUAGCUUGGGCAUCUAAUAUCAUUUUUCCCCCUUUAGCAGAACUAUAAUUAAAUUAGACUUGGGUUUUCAGAAAAGCUGAAUUAUCUGCAUUGGUGCUUAAAAAUAUUAGGGAGCAAGAGAGAGGAGCCUGGGAGACAGCGUGAGAUGGCCCAUGCGCAAUGCUCUCCCGUGGCAUCCAUCCUGAGGGCUGCCACUCUCAGUCAGUCCACCUUUCCCACCGCUUUUAAUGAUUGGUUCAUCUCCAGCAGCUCUGAUUCCUUCUUCGGCCUUUCACGUACAAAGUAUCCAGGUAUUUAAGGCUCAGGGUAUUAAUUCAAUUAACAAUAAUGUAAGAGCAGGCAGAUGCUCCCCAGCAAAGAAAGUCUCCUCUUUUCACUCUUGGCCUCAUAUGAACUCACAAGAGACCCCACUGUAAGCUCCACCACCAACAUUAGCUACUUGAUUUUCAAAUGAAAGGAAUAUGUUUUUAUUCAUCAAAUGGUUUUGAUGAAAACUAAACAGGAUCCUUCCCUCACAGCUUGGAUGCCAGGCACGGAGGUAGGAGUGCCAAUCUUUGCCACAGGAUGAACUUAGUAGGAGACUGUGUUUUGUUAAUAGAUAAUAAUUGCCUUCUACUGCUAAUUUAUCUUGAAGAGCAUGUGUGUUCCCCUCUGCGUCCCCCUCUCCGUGUGUGGGUGUAAGAG
rnacentral:lncRNA from 1 species